AUUGAACGCUGGCGGCAGGCCUAACACAUGCAAGUCGAACGAGCGGCGGACGGGUGAGUAAUGUCUGGGAAACUGCCUGAUGGAGGGGGAUAAAUACUGGAAACGGUAGCUAAUACCGCAUACCAUCAGAUGUGCCCAGAUGGGAUUAGCUAGUAGGUGGGGUAAUGGCUCACCUAGGCGACGAUACCUAGCUGGUCUGAGAGGAUGACCAGCCACACUGGAACUGAAACAGGGUCCAGACUCCAACGGUAGGCAGCAGUGGAGAAUAUUGCACAAUGGGCGCAAGCCUGAUGCAGCCAUGCCGCGUGUGUGAAGAAGGCUUUCGGGUUGUAAAGCACUUUCAGCAAGGAGGCGUUACUCGCAGAAGAAGCACCGGCUAACUCCGUGCCAGCAGCCGCGGUAAUAC
rnacentral:rRNA from 1 species